rnacentral:rRNA from 1 species
CGGCACGGGUGAGUAACACGUAUGCAACCUGGCCGUCACAGGUGGAUAACCGGAAGAAAUUCCGACUAAUACAGCAUAACACUCCUGAGGGACAUCCUUCGGGAGUCAAAGGAGGCAACUCCGGUGACGGAUGGGCAUGCGGCGCAUUAGGUAGUUGGUAGGGUAACGGCCUACCAAGCCGACGAUGCGUAGGGGUUCUGAGAGGAAGGUCCCCCACACUGGUACUGAGACACGGACCAGACUCCUACGGGAGGCAGCAG